rnacentral:lncRNA from 1 species
CUAUUAUUUUCUACCUCUGUGGCCACACCUUUUCAAUCUCCCUUUUGAACUGCUUCUUUUUUGUGCACCCAAUAUAAACAUCCUCUAACUGUAUUUGUGCACUAUUCUGGGGUGUGCAGCACCACUGAGAAUCCUUCUAUCAUUGUACAUUUCCUACUAUAUUAUGAGUAUGACUUCACUGUUUUUCCUACCAGACCGAAACCCCUUUGUGGAUAAGAACUGUGCCUUUUAUCACCAUAUCCUUGAGGCCUAGUAUAUUGUAGACUAUCAGCAAGUAUGAACUGAAUUGCUCAACACUGAAAACAAAUGGCAAUAAUUUCUUGGCCCAAAGCACAAUGGGACACAAGAGUCAACAUGGAAAAGACAGUGAAGAAAAGGAGUAGGUCCUGGAAUGAAACCUAUCACCCAGGAGAAGAAAAGGAUGGAGGAUGAAUUUGGCAGCUAUGCUGUGCUUUAGGUGAUACAGAUGUAAGUGGCAGAGAAGAUUUCCCAGGUGCACAGAAUACAUGGGCAAGGGACUAGUGCCAGCAAUAUUUAGAACAGCAAGCUGAAGACAAUUAAUGCUGAGAAGGCCUUUCCAAGGUCAAAAGACUUGGCAAUAACACCAAUAGCUAGACAUCAGCUCUGGUAAAAGAAGAAAAGAAAGGUUCAGUGCAUAGUAAUAAGGACCAAUACAAAAGCUUCAUCUUCAGUUUGCGUCAAGAUGAAGACAUCAUCAUCUAAGGAAUGAAUGUAGGAAGAAAGUCCUGUGGUAACCAUUGGACUACAAGACCACAGCUUUGGGCAUUAAUUUAGUUUCACCUGGUCAUGAAACAAGGAUGAGACCUUGAAUGGAGCUAACAGUGAGCUUAGCUGAGAGAAGCUAGAAAAUACUGAAUCAAGAGAAUCUUAUCAAAAUUGACAUUGAUGAGCGUGGCUGAAGGACAAAAAAAAAGUUAGAUAGUUUUUAUAACUGAUAUUCAGGAUAUUAACGAAAGGAAGUUGAUGGUAUUGCCCUUUAAUAUUAUAUUUUGCCUCCACUUGGAAUCCAAGAUCAUAUUUUGCUUCACUGGUACAGAUCUAGUCAUUUUCAACUAGUAAUUACAUAACUCCCUCCUUCUCCCCAAGGAGAGAGUCAUUUUACAAAUGCAAUAUACAAAUAAAUAAAGGCACCAGUGGAGCUAGACCUGCA